rnacentral:lncRNA from 1 species
CUAGUCGGAUUCGGUAACCCCUGAGCCACGAAGGGAACUCCUUCAUUUUUUAAAGUCUACCUCAUGAGCUUCCUUUAAGUUGGGAGCUUCUAAUGAACAAGUAAAUCAGAAUCACAUAUAUUCAGGUUAUACACAACAUCUGUGGAACAGAGUGCAUCUGAGUUCAAUGCUCUCUUAGGCCUAACAGUAGUUGCUUUGAAUGAGAAUGUCGGAUGCUGGAAGAUAUGAAAUAGUUAAAAAAUACAAAUCUAAAGGAUGCUAGCUGAUAUUAGCUACAGUCUAUGCUCUUGAAAAUGACUUCUAUGAGGCCUAAUCAAUAAUAGUUAUACAUCACCAAUUUCCAUGUCUUAUUGACUCUGGGUAUGGCUGUCUCUAUUCAUCUUACUAAUUCCACACGUUACUUCAACACCGAUACUGAAUUCAAGUCAAUGGCAGAUCUGUAAUAAAUUAAUCAGUAUGCAAAAAAAUGGGAAACGCAGGUCCUACUCACGGGUAAUGCUCAGUGAAAGCCCUUGACAGUAUGCCUGUUGCUGCAACCUGGAGCCAGUUUACACAGUCAUAGCAUCAAGGACCUGGAAUUUUCCUAUGAAGACAAGUGGGAAUCCAGAAACCCUCACCCAGAUGCUUUUUGAAGGUAACAAACAAACAAACAAACACAUCCCUGCUGACUGCAUCAGGAUCUAAGACAUCGGCGGGGGGGCAGGGUUUAAAAAUAGGAGGGAGGGAGAGUAGAGAUGCAGAAGAACGAUGAGGCGCAAGGAUGAUAAACCUCCUGGGAGAGAAACGGAAUACAAACUCUGCCGGUAGCAGACAACUUUUGAAAAGCCUUCCCUUUUGCUGUGCGUGCUUCCAGGCAUCCAGUCCAGACCUUGCAUCCAAACACCCAAAGGUAAGAAGAGAUGCUAGCUUAUUUCGAAAUGGAGUUUGAAGUCAGUCAGGUCUUAAUUGUGAGCGACUAUUAAGUUUAAGACACUGCCUUCGGCAGCCUCCUGUGUCUUCUUCCCUCCUAAGGGUUUGCUAAUACAGUAACCCAUUCCUUCCUCAACUCAGAAGCCCAUCAUCACACCUUAACUGGUCUGCCUCCACGCCUCUCUGCCCAGAUUGACACUUAACUUUAAUUUCCCCUUUCCCAAAACAAAACAACAAAAUCAAACUUUACAGAGGACUUAACUGUAUUCAAAUAUCCAUACAAUUCUAUCCAUGGCAACAGUCUCGGUUUUUCAGAAACUUCAUUUCCAGCGUCCCCCACCUCCACGGACAAAAGAAAAUGGGCCCCAGUGUCACAAACUUCGGCACCUCUCAAGGAACUAAUUAAAUCUCCUAGGACGCUCUCACCCACGCCCUCAGAAAUCUGAAGGGUGUGCAAAAUCCAAACCCAAUUCAACACGAUGAUAAUAAAAGCCCUUUACUUUCUGUAACGCUCCA